UGGGGAAUAUUGGGCAAUGGGCGCAAGCCUGACCCAGCCAUGCCGCGUGAGUGAUGAAGGCCUUCGGGUCGUAAAGCUCUGUGGGGAGGGACGAAAUGCUCCUGGCUAAUAUCCAGGGGAGCUGACGGUACCUCCUUAGCAAGCACCGGCUAACUCCGUGCCCGCAGCCGCGGUAAUACGGAGGGUGCAAACGUUGCUCGGAAUCAUUGGGCGUAAAGCGCACGUAGGCGGCUCGUUAAGUCGGUUGUGAAAUCCCUGGGCUCAACCCAGGAAGAGCAAUCGAAACUGGCGAGCUUGAAUAUGGAAGAGGGUCGCGGAAUUCCCGGUGUAGAGGUGAAAUUCGUAGAUAUCGGGAGGAACAUCAGUGGCGAAGGCGGCGACCUGGGCCAAUAUUGACGCUGAGGUGCGAAAGCGUGGGGAGCAAAC
rnacentral:rRNA from 1 species